rnacentral:tRNA from 1 species
GUGUGCGUAGCUCAGUGGUUAGAGCAUCCCUCUGGAUUGAGGCAAUCAUGGGUUCAAAUCCCAUUGCACACA